rnacentral:misc_RNA from 1 species
GUUUCUUAAUUGGCUGGCCUGUGAUAUAAAUCUUGAGCCUUUGACCAUUAACUUUAAAAAUCCCAGAAUUUUCACUCUAAAUAUCCAUAGCUCUAUGUGGAUAAACUUUGACGACCUUAAAAGGGCCAGACCAUCUUGAUUUCAACUUCCCAGGAAAGAGUCUAAGUCUAGAAUUAUACAAUAAAACUAGGUCACCCUCUUUAAACCCCUUUCUUUUAACAUACUUAUCAUACCAAAAUCUAGUCAUUUCCUUAAAAAUCCAAGCAUUCUCAUAUGCAUUCAGCCUUAUCUCUUUAAGUUCAUUUAAUUGAAGCAAUCUUUUCUCUCCAGCACCUUUUAAGUCAAAAUUCAAAGUUCGGAUUGCCCAAUAUGCUUUGUGUUCCAACUCAACGAGCAAAUGACAUGAUUUCCCAUAGACUAACUUAAAAGGUAGUUCCAAUGGGUGUCUUGUAAGCUAUCCUGUAUGCCCACAAUGCAUCAUCUAGUCUCAAUGACCAAUCCUUCCUUGAAUGAUUAACAAUUUUUUUCAAAAUUCUCUUCAAUUCCCUAUUAGAUACUUCAACUUGCCCACUAGUCUGAGGAUGGUAAGGUAUAGCUACCUUAUGAG